GUGCUCACUUUGGCAGCACACAUACUAAAUUUGGAACAAUACAGAGAAAAUUAGCAUGGGCUCUGCACAAGGAUGACACACAAAGUCGUGAAGCAUUCAUAUUUUUU
ensembl:snRNA U6 U6 spliceosomal RNA